rnacentral:pre_miRNA from 1 species
CUGGUUAUUUCUGUAUCUCUCUUCCGCUGUAUAUAAUAUAUACAGCGGAAGAGAGAUACAGAAAUAACCAG